rnacentral:rRNA from 1 species
AAUGAACGCUGGCGGCAUGCCUUACACAUGCAAGUCGAACGGCAGCAUGACCUAGCUUGCUAGGUUGAUGGCGAGUGGCGAACGGGUGAGUAAUGCAUCGGAACGUGCCUUUUAGUGGGGGAUAACGUAGCGAAAGUUACGCUAAUACCGCAUAUUCUCUGAGGAGGAAAGCAGGGGGCCUUCGGGCCUUGCGCUAGAAGAGCGGCCGAUGUCGGAUUAGCUAGUUGGUGAGGUAAAGGCUCACCAAGGCAACGAUCCGUAGCGGGUCUGAGAGGAUGAUCCGCCACACUGGGACUGAGACACGGCCCAGACUCCUACGGGAGGCAGCAGUGGGGAAUUUUGGACAAUGGGCGCAAGCCUGAUCCAGCCAUGCCGCGUGAGUGAAGAAGGCCUUCGGGUUGUAAAGCUCUUUCGGCUGGGAAGAAAUCGCACUUUCUAAUACAGGGUGUGGAUGACGGUACCAGCAUAAGAAGCACCGGCUAACUACGUG